rnacentral:rRNA from 1 species
GACAGAGGGUGCAAACGUUGUUCGGAUUUACUGGGCGUAAAGCGCGUGUAGGCGGCUUUGCAAGUCGGAUGUGAAAGCCCACGGCUCAACCGUGGAAGUGCAUCCGAAACUGCAUGGCUUGAGUCUCGGAGAGGAAGGUGGAAUGCUUGGUGUAGAGGUGAAAUUCGUAGAUAUCAAGCAGAACACCUGCGGCGAAGGCGGCCUCUGGACGAUGACUGACGCUGAGACGCGAAAGCGUGGGGAGCAAACAGG